ACCCCACAUCCAACCCCACCACGCCUCUAAUCGUGGAGUUCUUCUUUCUUACUUGUGUGGUGGUUGUGGUGGUGGAGGGCUCAUUCCGCGGUGAGUGAAGAAGCCCUCAAGUGCACGCCGAGGAGACGGUGGUGAGUGAAGCGAAGGAGCAGUGCGGAGGGGGUGAUGCGGUCCGCUUUGCUUUCCACUGGGCCAGCACAGAAGGAUGUCUGCAGAGGAUUACAGAGAACAACCCUGCUGCUACGAGUCCACCAGUGUGUGCCACUACCUUCUGGCUCCCCUAACCUAAUAGUAAUAAUAUAUUUGCAUAUAAAGGGUGGCCCAAAAGUCAGAACACACAUUUAAUUAAUUUUACACAUAGCAUUAAAUAUGUAAUCAGCAGUAUAUCUGUUAUCUUAUUAAUGUGUGCAAGCACUGGUGUCUUGCAAGGCCGGAGGGGUUACAUUUUGAAGUUUCUGAAUACAACAAGACUCCAUCCUCUGCAGCAGAACGGAUGCCUUCUGGGUGUGUAACUGCGUGUAAUUGUCGUGGAGUGGCGUGACAUGGCCACUUAUGUCAGAGGUUUGCAGUUGACUUGGGCAGGCCACCCUGGUUAAUGCUGUGGGUGUGUUCGUUAAUCAGUCCGCUUUACCUGGCGAGAGUCGUGGUGGCAGAAAGUUAGGUAGUGGCGGUCCAGGCCUCGCCUUCGACAGACUAGCACGUCUACACUAAACACUACUACUGCUACACAAGAAAACACAAGUCAAGUCAGGACCCAAAGUUUUUGAUGACAUCUUUCCAGUGAGUGCUGAGUCUAUAACCUUCCUCGGUUGAAAUUGUCUCUGUGUCAGGCAGAUUUGAAACACGGUAGGACCAAUACUUCUGCCGUAGCUGAUCAUUAUUUUAAUGCGGCUGGCUCACGAAAUUGAUUUCUCUAAGACGAGUAUUAAAGAUUUGUUCAUGAAGCCAUCCAUAUAUACAAACAGACAAUUUCAACUUAGAGGAAGGUUUCGACCCGGCAAUCAUUGGAAAGAUGUCAUCAGCCACUUGGGGUCCUGACUUGGCUUGUGUGUUCAUGUCAAUCAAUCUCCACCGUCAGCAGUGUGGUGUGUGGAGCGGGGUGCAAGGAUUUUAGCGGCAUUGUUGCUGCAUUGGCACUCGUGCACUGCCCAUGCCCUGAGCUACGCCCAUCCCCAAACCUUUAUAAACAGCUGGCCUUUAGAGGCUGACUCCUUUGCGUGAUGACGACCGGUUGUGUUGUGAUCGAAACGUCGUGAUAUUUUUAUUCACUUAUUUUUUUAUAUCUACGUGACUUUACCGAAAAAACUAUAGAACAUUUUAAUUCAAACAAGAGUAGGCCAUUGUUUAGGCAAGCAAGCUUAAAGUAAUUUCAGUAGCAUGCCCUGUACAUUGCAAUUGUACACGGGAACUUGUAUAACACGAUAAUUUUCACUCGGUCGGAACGUGUACAAUUGUUUUGCAAAAGCAAUAAAUAAUUUUGAAAUGAAUGCUAACGUAAGUA